rnacentral:rRNA from 1 species
AAUAGAUACCCCGGUAGUCCACGCCGUAAACGUUGGAUACUAGGUGUGGCGUCCCGAUCAACGGAUGCCGUGCCGAAGCUAACGCAUUAAGUAUCCCGCCUGGGGAGUACGGCCGCAAGGCUAAAACUCAAAGGAAUUGACGGGUCCCCGCACAAGCGGCGGAGCAUGCGGCUUAAUUCGAUGCAGCCCGAGGAACCUUACCUGGGUUUGAAAUCAUGGGAAAAGCUGUAGAAAUACAGUGUCCGUAAGGGCCCAUGACAGGUGGUGCAUGGCUGUCGUCAGCUCGUGUCGUGAGGUGUUGGGUUAAGUCCCGCAACGAGCGCAACCCUUGUCCUAUGUUGCCAGCGGUUCGGCCGGGGACUCAUAGGAGACUGCCGGGGAUAACUCGGAGGAAGGUGAGGACGACGUCAAGGUCAUCAUGCCCCUUAUAUCCAGGGCUGCACGCAUGCUACAAUGGUCGGUACAACGGGCAGCGACCCCGCGAGGGUGAGCGAAUCCCACAAAGCCGGCCUCAGUUCGGAUUGGAGU